UACGUAGGGGGCAAGCGUUGUCCGGAUUUAUUGGGCGUAAAGAGCGUGUAGGCGGCCAGGUAGGUCUGCUGUGAAAACUCGAGGCUUAACCUCGAGCUGUCGGCGGAAACCAUCUGGCUAGAGUCCGGAAGAGGAGAAUGGAAUUCCCGGUGUAGCGGUGAAAUGCGCAGAUAUCGAGAGGAACACCAGUGGCGAAGGCGAGUCCCUGGACACUUCCUGACACUGAGGCACGAAAGCUAGGGGAGCAAACAGG
rnacentral:rRNA from 1 species